GAUCAUGGCUCAGGACGAACGCUGGCGGCGUGCUUAACACAUGCAAGUCGAACGAAGAGCGAUGGAAGCUUGCUUCUAUCAAUCUUAGUGGCGAACGGGUGAGUAACGCGUAAUCAACCUGCCCUUCAGAGGGGGACAACAGUUGGAAACGACUGCUAAUACCGCAUACGAUCCAAUCCCGGCAUCGGGACUGGAUGAAAGGUGGCCUCUAUUUAUAAGCUAUCACUGAAGGAGGGGA
rnacentral:rRNA from 1 species